GCCGGGCAUGGUGGUGCAUGCCUGUAAUCCCAGCUACUUGGGAGGCUGAGGCAGGAUAAUUGCCUGAACCCAGGAGGCGGAGGUUGCAGUGAGCCAAGAUCACGCCACUGCACUUCAGCCUGGGCAACAGAGCAAGAUUCUGUCUCAA
rfam:Nomascus leucogenys chromosome 7b, whole genome shotgun sequence.